rnacentral:rRNA from 1 species
ACGGGAGGCAGCAGUGGGGAAUAUUGGGCGAUGGGCGAAAGCCUGACCAAGCAACGCCGCGUGAAGGAAGAAGAUCUUCGGAUUGUAAACUUCUUUUAUGAGGGACGAAGGACGUGACGGUACCUCAUGAAUAAGCCACGGCUAACUACGUGCCAGCAGCCGCGGUAAUACGUAAGUGGCAAGCGUUAUCCGGACUUACUGGGUGUAAAGGGCGCGUAGGCGGGGAUGCAAGUCAGAUGUGAAAUCCAUGGGCUUAACUCAUGAACUGCAUUUGAAACUGUAUCUCUUGAGUGCUGGAGAGGUAGAUGGAAUUCCCUGUGUAGCGGUGAAAUGCGUAGAUAUAAGGAAGAACACCAGUGGCGAAGGCGAUCUACUGGACAGUAACUGACGCUGAGGCGCGAAAGCGUGGGGAGCAAACAGGAUUAGAUACCCUGGUA